rnacentral:rRNA from 1 species
GGGUUAGUAGGUUGGUCAUGCCUCUGGUAUGUACUGAUCUCACUGAUUCCUCCUUCCUGAUGAGCCGUAAUGCCAUUAAUUUGGUGUUAUAGGGAAUCAGGACUGUUACUUUGAAAAAAUUAGAGUGUUUAAAGCAGGCUCACGCUUGAAUACAUUAGCAUGGAAUAACGGAAUAGCACGUUUGAUUCUAUUUUGUUGGUUUCUAGGAUCGACGUA